rnacentral:rRNA from 1 species
CCUGGUUGAUCCUGCCAGUAGUCAUAUGCUUGUCUCAAAGAUUAAGCCAUGCAUGUCUAAGUACAGGCUUUGGUACAGCGAAACCGCGAAUGGCUCAUUAAAUCAGCUAUAAUUUAUUAGAUUGUUCUUUACUUGGAUAACUGUGGGAAUUCUAGAGCUAAUACAUGCACAAAAGCUCCGACCUUCGGGAAGGAGUGCAGUUAUUAGACCAAAACCAGCCGAGCUUCGGCUCGAACUGUUUGGUGACUCUGGAUAACGAUGAGCGGAUCGCAUGGCCUUGAGCCGGCGACGUAUCUUUCAAGUGUCUGACCUAUCAACUGACGAUGGUACGCGAUAUGCCUACCAUGGUGAUAACGGGUAACGGAGAAUAAGGGUUCGACUCCGGAGAGGGAGCCUGAGAAAUGGCUACCACAUCCAAGGAUGGCAGCAGGCGCGCAAAUUACCCACUCUCAGUACGAGGAGGUAGUGACGAAAAAUAACAAUGCGGGACUCAUCAGAGGCCUCGCAAUUGGAAUGAGCGCACUUUAAAUCGUUCGACGAGGACCUAUUGGAGGGCAAGUCUGGUGCCAGCAGCCGCGGUAAUUCCAGCUCCAAUAGCGUAUAUUAAAGUUGUUGCAGUUAAAAAGCUCGUAGUUGGAUCUGGGGUUCGGGUCGGCGGUUUGCCGCUUCGGCGGCUACUGCCGUGCUCGACUCUUACUAGCCGGUGCGUCUUGCGGUGCUCUUCAUCGAGUGCCGUAGGAGCCUGGCAUGUUUACUUUGAAAAAAUUAGAGUGCUCAAAGCAGGCGAUUCCGCCUGAAUAGUGUUGCGUGGAAUAAUGGAAUAGGACCUCGGUUCUAUUUUGUUGGUUUUCGGAACUUGAGGUAAUGAUUAAGAGGGACGGUCGGGGGCAUUCGUAUUUCGGUGUUAGAGGUGAAAUUCUUGGAUCGCUGAAAGACGGACAAAUGCGAAAGCAUCUGCCAAGAACGUCUCCAUUAAUCAAGAACGAAAGUCGGAGGUUCGAAGACGAUCAGACACCGUCCUAGUUCUGACCAUAAACGAUGCCAACUAGCGAUCCGCAGUGGUUGCUAUAAACGGACUCUGCGAGCAGCUUCCGGGAAACCAAAGUGUUUGGGUUCCGGGGGAAGUAUGGUUGCAAAGCUGAAACUUAAAGGAAUUGACGGAAGGGCACCACCAGGAGUGGAGCCUGCGGCUUAAUUUGACCCAACACGGGGAAACUCACCCGGUCCGGACACUGUAAGGAUUGACAGAUCGA